ensembl:lncRNA ULK4P1 ULK4 pseudogene 1
UUUCCCAGGCGGUAGCGGGGGCAGUGGUGCUGUUGCCCUUUUAAACUGCGGCUUGACGGGAGCCGCGCCUCCUGUCGGUGGAGUCGGUUAUAAAGGGAGCAGCCCCGCAGGCCGCCACAUAGCUCCCGCCAAGUCCUCGGUGCCCCUUGCCAUUUUCCAGCCGCGCUCCCACGAGGGUCACGGCGGCGGGGAGAGGUGGAGCCGCGAGAGCUCGGCCGGGGGCCCCGCCUGGUGGUCGCGGCCAUGACAGCGGCUCGGGACAGGCUCCUUUUCCGCGCCCCUCCCGCCGGAGGUGAGGGGAAGAUGUCCAUGUCCGGGUUCAAGGCCAAACCGAAGUUACUGGCCUCUAUCUUCCAGGAGAACCAGGAGCCACAGCCGCGGCUCACGCCCCACCGCAACAUUAAGAUUACAAGUGGACACCUGAGUCAGCAGGACCUGGAAUCCCAGAUGAGAGAGCUUAUCUACACGACUCAGAUCUUGUUGUCACCCCCAUUAUUGACAAUCCAAAGGUGCAGAAAGCACUCUGACAAAUAAUGAAACAACCACCAUCGGUUAAAUUUGAUGCAAAAAUAUUGCAUCUACCAGCAUUUUCAGUUCCAAUUGCUAAUCCAGCAUUUGUGGAUAGCUGCAAACUGCGAUAUAUGGGCCAAGGUUGCUCGGGUGAUUGGUUUACUGGCUUCGCACAAAACUGAUCUCCAGGAAAAUACACCUGUUGUUGAGGCCUUCCCUAACAGUCCCAGAACUCCUACAUUGCCUGGUGUGCUGACCUAAAGCCCUCAUUAAGACCAGUAACAAAUCAAGCCUAUCUUAUCAACUGACAACACAUUCUGGAACCAUGGCGUGUCCAUGGAUAAGACAUGAAGUCCUUCUUUCAAGACUUGGUUUUCUGGUACUGGAAAAUACCAAUAUGGAUAAAAGACCUUCAAAGCUGCUACGAUGGGUAAGGAACAAUGCACACAGUAUACCAUUAAGGCAAAGAAGAUAGUCUUAAUCCUGUAUGAAAUGCCAAUGAAGAUGUAAUUAAUGAAUAGACAUUUCAUUGAAAUGAAAUCAAAAGACAUUUUCCUUCUCUGACAUAACAGAGUAGAACUCUCUAGUAAGAACACAAAACUGACCAGCCUGACCAAUGUGAUAAAACCCCCUGUCUCUACUAAAAAGACAAAAAUUAGCCAUGCAUGGUAGCAGAUGCUUGUAAUCCCAGCUACUCAAGAGGCUCAGGCAUGAGAAUCUCUUGAACCCAAAAGGUGGAGGCUGCAGUGAGUCGAGAUCGCACAACUGCACUUCACCCUGGGCGACAAAGCAAGACUUUGUUUUUUAAAAAAAAGAAGAAGAAGAGAAAAAGAAAAAGAACACAAAACUCUGGUUACUGCUCUAUGAGAAUUAAGUGAAUGUGAAGGAGAAGUUGGAAUAAUAUUACAAGUUGGUGAAAUAUUGGAAUUCUGGUCUGUUGGUGAUUGGUCUUCAUCUUUUCUAUAAGAGAUAGCUCAUUACACAAUGUAUUCUCAUUUGUCUGAACGGGAUUAUUUCCCUUAAGGCGAUGGCCUCUUCUGCAUCUUUAUGUCUCUAAUGUCUAGCAUGGGAACUACUCAAUAUAUAUUUCAGGUUGUUGACAAUGAUUGCUGCUGUCUAUUCCAUCUAGGUAAGGGUUUUUGCAUUCAAAAGGCCCUUUGCCUUAAGACCUAAAGAGGUUUUGGAACAUCAGCAAGCAUCCAUCUCGAGGUAAAUAACUGGAAUCCCAAUGGGCUGUGUGUGUGUGUCUG